UAGCAUAAUAAUUUGUCUUUUAAUUAGGGGCUUGAAUGAAAGAUUUGACAUAAAAUAACUGUCUUAAUUUUUACUAAAAAAUUCAUUUUUAGUGAAAACUCUAAAAUAAAAAUAGAAGACGAUAAGACCCUUUAAAAUUUUUCUUAGUUUUAAAUUGGACUAGUCAAACCCGAAAUUAAAGAUUAAUUGGGGAGAUUUUUAUAAACUUAUAAAAACUGUAAAGAAAAAAAACACUUAUAUGUGAAUUUUAAGACCUUUAAAGAAGUUUUAAAUUAAAUUACUUAAGGGAUAACAGCGUUAUUUUUUUUAGAGCCCGAAUCGAAAAAAAAGAUUGCGACCUCGAUGUUGAAUUAAGAAGUCUCAUUUAAGUAAAAAUA
rnacentral:rRNA from 1 species